GACGAACCGUGCGAACGUUAUUCGGAAUCACUGGGCUUAAAGGGCGCGUAGGCGGGUCACCAAGUCCGGGGUGAAAUCCCACGGCCCAACCGUGGAAGUGCCUUGGAUACUGAUGACCUCGAGGGGGAUAGGGGCGUGCGGAACUCGAGGGUGGAGCGGUGAAAUGCGUAGAUAUCCUGAGGAACACCGGUGGCGAAAGCGGCGCGCUGGAUCCCUUCUGACGCUGAGGCGCGAAGCCAGGGAGCAACGGG
rnacentral:rRNA from 1 species